rnacentral:rRNA from 1 species
UGCAGUAGACGCUGAAGCUUGGUGCUUGCACCGAGCGGAUGAGUUGCGAACGGGUGAGUAACGCGUAGGUAACCUGCCUCUUAGCGGGGGAUAACUAUUGGAAACGAUAGCUAAUACCGCAUAAAAGUCAACAUUGCAUGAUGUUGACUUGAAAGGUGCAAAUGCAUCACUAAGAGAUGGACCUGCGUUGUAUUAGCUAGUUGGUGAGGUAACGGCUCACCAAGGCGACGAUACAUAGCCGACCUGAGAGGGUGAUCGGCCACACUGGGACUGAGACACGGCCCAGACUCCUACGGGAGGCAGCAGUAGGGAAUCUUCGGCAAUGGACGGAAGUCUGACCGAGCAACGCCGCGUGAGUGAAGAAGGUUUUCGGAUCGUAAAGCUCUGUUGUAAGAGAAGAACGAGUGUGAGAGUGGAAAGUUCACACUGUGACGGUAACUUACCAGAAAGGGACGGCUAACUACGUGCCAGCAGCCGCGGUAAUACGUAGGUCCCGAGCGUUAUCCGGAUUUAUUGGGCGUAAAGCGAGCGCAGGCGGUUAGAUAAGUCUGAAGUUAAAGGCUGUGGCUUAACCAUAGUACGCUUUGGAAACUGUUUAACUUGAGUGCAGAAGGGGAGAGUGGAAUUCCAUGUGUAGCGGUGAAAUGCGUAGAUAUAUGGAGGAACACCGGUGGCGAAAGCGGCUCUCUGGUCUGUAACUGACGCUGAGGCUCGAAAGCGUGGGGAGCAACAGGAUAGAUACCCUGGUAG